rnacentral:tRNA from 4 species
GUUUUAAUAAUUUAAAUUAUAAAAUAUUGGUCUUGUAAACCAAAAAUAAGAACAUCUUUUAAAACU